UUUCGUUCACUGGAUUUGAUUUAAUUUAUGAUUCAGAAAACAUUUCUACUGAUGUCAAUUUAGCACAAUGCCUACCAAAUCUAAUAACACUCGCGGACAUUUAUGUGUUUAAUCCUCAAUCCAUCGAGACCAGCAAGAGAUUCAGAGAACGACGCGCGCGGACUGACAACAAGCGUUACUGAGUUUAAAAUACUGAUGAACUCUCUUCUUAGUGGACAAGACCGCAAGUGAUGCUGAAGGAUUGAGUGUUUGCUGAUCAGUUUUCAGGGUCAGUUUAGCUGCAGUAUGUCAGAGGAAAGAGGAAAGGACUCUCUCUCUCAGAUGAGUCUCUCAGAGAAACACAGUGUAAGAUCAGGCUCACAUGUGUCCAGCUCUGUGUCUCUGAAGAGUGAUCACUCUAAAGGUAGACCACCAGACUUCAGUGAGAAAACACCAUCAUCUAAUGAAAGG